rnacentral:rRNA from 1 species
AGCGAACGCUGGCGGCAGGCCUAACACAUGCAAGUCGAACGAACUCUUCGGAGUUAGUGGCGGACGGGUGAGUAACACGUGGGAACGUGCCUUUUGGUUCGGAAUAAUUCAGGGAAACUUGUGCUAAUACCGAAUGUGCUCUUCGGGGGAAAGAUUUAUCGCCAUUAGAGCGGCCCGCGUCUGAUUAGCUAGUUGGUGAGGUAACGGCUCACCAAGGCGACGAUCAGUAGCUGGUCUGAGAGGAUGACCAGCCACACUGGGACUGAGACACGGCCCAGACUCCUACGGGAGGCAGCAGUGGAGAAUCUUGCGCACUGGGCGAAGGCCUAACGCAGCCAUGCCGCGUAAAUGAUGAAGGUCUUAGGAUUGUAAAAUUCUUUCACCGGGGACGAUGAUGACGGUACCCGGAGAAGAAGCCCCGGCUAACUUCGUG